rnacentral:lncRNA from 1 species
AAGAAGGAAAAAAAGCACAAAACAUAUUUGUAAAGAAAAGGGGCACUUGAGUUGGAACAGCUUUAAUGGUUCAGGUUACAGGAAUCUUUGGUUUUCUCCCGCAGAAAGCUUUUUCUCACAGCUGAAAAAAUUUCCUUGCACCAUCACAGUUCUAAAACCAAUCUAGUCCUGCUGCAACAAAUCUCUAAGAGCCUUAAGUUCUUCUAUUUGGGAGCUAGGGAAUAAUCACAGUACUUUAUAUGCAAAUAUAACUAAAGCCCAUGACAUCUGAGGCCAUCUACAAAUGAAGCAGUUGUGAUUUGGGUUUCCUUGUUGGCCAGCAGAAGAGUCUCAGAUGCUGGGAAUCAGAGAGGGCAUCUCAUAAAAGUUUGGUGGGAUGUUUUGUGCUGCAUGCUUGGAUUGCUCAUUACUGAUCCUAUAUUGAACACUGAGACCCUGCAUUCACUAGUGGAAAGAAGUUCCUGGAGUGCACAACAAAGGGUUCUAACUAAUAAGGAAAACUAGUAACUCCUAAAAAUGUAAUAAGGCUCCUGCUGAACUCUGGAGUUUGAUGACCUCAGGUGCUCCUUCCCAGUGCAACUUCAGCUGCUCUAGUGCAGGUAAUGAAACCAUUUAGAGAAGAGAGUUCCAAACAACCAUCUGAGAAGAUUCUUCACCAUUGCUGACAGACAUUUUACUCAGUAGAGCAGAUCUCUUCCUGGGAACUGAUGGCUCUUAUUCCAAUGGUGAGGUUACCUUGAUUCAGCUCCAUUUAAACACAGCUGCACCAGAAAAAUUCUGUGGUUCAGGAGCAGUGGGACAUGUAGUUUAUUCUGCCUCCACUGUGACACUCAGGAUGGGACACCUGCAUGCACAAAGCCUGAGCAAUCUCUGAGGUGAGGCCUUGUACACACCUGUGCUGAGCACUAUCUCCAGGUGACCAGUGAGGGCUACCUGGCUUUCAGACCGUACCAUGUGACAUAACAGGAAUUAUGCCUCACCCCCCUAAACCUCCUAAAUAGAGAAUAGAGGGAACUAAGCACUUCCAUGUGCUGGUUUGGAUCUCACAUGGGCUGUAAAGGGAGCAGAAAAUUCCCAGUGGGAUGAACCUGAGCCUUGGGUAAGUACUGGCAACUGUCAAGUGACUUCUUUGUGCUCGUGGAGCUCUAAGGCAAAUGAAUAAACAAACAAUGCUCUCUUCCCA